UCCGCCACGCGUCGGUACCUUCGCCGUCCGUUUCCCUUAGUCCUCACUCCCCCCGCCGCUUCCGCUCCUUCCUCGCCUCGCUACGGUUCACGCGGCGCGCGCCGCCUCACUUCUCCUGCGCCGCGGCUGCGAAUCCUUCUAUAUAUACACAGCCGUGAUCCGAUCAAGUGAUCUCGCCGCUCCGGUGCUCCGCCUUCGUCCGUCGCCUGGCUAUGGAGCCUUCCACCUCUUCCCUCCUCGCUCUUCGCGACCAGUCCUUGCGAGAGUCCGUUGCUCCACUCUCAUGCCACUACGUUGAUGGCUAAUAACCCCAAACCAAUGCCUUCCCGCAUCCGCAAUCUCCCGCCCGCGAUCGUCGCCGCUCUCCGUCACAUCGGCUGAUUCGAUCCGCCCGGGCGACAAGGUAAUGAAUUUUCAGAAGAAAAAAAGGAGAAUGAUCGAGCCUUGGUCAUCGGUUCAUUUUGUAGAUUAGAAAAGAGUUUAAAAAAAAAAAAUCCUUUCUCUAUUUUCAUUUCUUUUCCUCUAGGAAUGGGACUCGUUGACCUCCAAGUUCGCAGAAGCUGCGAACACCCCCUUGCUCCUCCUCCAACUCCCCCAGAUCGUCCUUAAUGCACGCAAUCUUCUCUCAGGCAACAAAUGCCGCCCUUUUUCCGUUCCUUGGCUGGUAGACGCUCUGUCUCUUUGGAGAAAAACGAUUUGUUUUGCCUGAACUACCAUAGAGAUUGGAAUUGGUUGUUGUAGGGUAUGCAUCUAAUCAUUGAAUGCCAGCACAGUAGUUGGUGAUCGAUAAUCCUCAUUCCUAUGCAUCUAAUCAUUGAUUGAUAGCACAUGUUAUGUGGUCUACUUUUGUUCCAUCUUUCCCUGACAUCAUCCUUCCUGGAGUCAUCUCCUUCAUUCUGGCUGCUACAACUGUCACUCGACUCACUUUGGUAAGCUAUGAUCCUUAAUGAUUUUUUUUUCUUCUGAACAUGUUGAUGCUCCGGAGAUAGCCUUCCAAUUAAAAUUUGAGUUUCAUGAUCUUAUGCUUAACCAACCGAUGGGAAAAUGAAUUUGCUAAGUGACCAAAAUAAAGAAGUUAUCCACUUUCAUAAUUGAAUUUGGGCAGAAAAUAAUUUGUCUUCUAAUUAACCAGAAUGUGAAAAGUAUCAAGUAGUUUCUUUUUUCCUGAUUAAGGGAAAUUUGAAAUGAGGCCAAGUGAGAAUCUCUGACUAAAAGAUAUCAACUGGGGAGAAGUAGACGAGCAAAUGUUGGAUGAAGUAGGUUUAGGUAGAGUAAUCUGCUCAAAUGUUCAGUGGUGGGGUAUGAACUAUGUAGUUGAUGCCAAAUAGAUAGGACUUGAGGUUCACUGCUGCUGCCUGCUACAUUUUGUUCAAUUGUUCUCAAAGUACAUCCUUGUUUAAGUUCAGACCACCAUGAUCAAAAUUAAUAGAAUUUUGGAUGGUCUAGGUGAAACAAAUAAUUCUCCAAGUGGUUGGACCAACAUACUAUAUCCACUACAUUACCAUAAAACCCCAAAAAUCAAGUCAGAUUUCACUAGUUCUUUAGGUGUACCUUCGUAAUUGGACUAUCUUUUAGGAUUUUGGCUGAUGAGGAUUUUCAAAUCAAUAUUGACAUCCAAUCUAGAAUAAGGUUUUUUCCCUACAUGAUUUAUUUUCUGAACAAUAUCAGAAUAAUCAAUAUCAAUCUGGUUUUCUUUUGUUGAAAUUUAAAUGGGAGUUCUUUGGUAUCGAUUCACUAGCCUAGGUGAAAAAACUAACCUAUUAACUUACGAGGCACAACCAUUGAUCCAAAAUGCUUAAGCCUAGGUUCUUUGUGUUCCACUCAUCUAAGCUUAUAAAUUCAUUAUUAAUCCAUAAUUCUCCAUAUAAGUCUAAUCUAGGAUAUCAUAGUCUUCCCCACUGAAGUCUUAAUGUUCUCAUCAAGACCAAAGUUCUAACUCAUAGCCUAUAACCAACAUUUGGAGGAGUAAUGGUGGAUCCGGGAUUACAUAGGCAACCUUUUUUAAUACCCCAACAUCUGUAAGAUUAGGUUCUCUCUCAUAACAGUUAUCAUGACUCACCUGAAGGAGAGUAUUGGUUCAUUUACUAGUCUGGCUUCACUCUUGGACUAAAAUGCUUAUGCCUAAGUUAAUAGUAGACUCAUCUAAGCUUAUAAACUUUUUAUUAUUCCAUAAUUCUCUAUGUAGGGAUAAACUAGAAUGCCAUAUAUAACAAAUACCUGAAUUCAUGUGGAACAAGAAUAGACUAUGUGCAACGUUUAUUCAACAACUGGUUAACAACGGGAAUAAAAGUCUUGGGGUGGAAGGCACCUAGCAAUAUUAAAAAGUGACUGAGAAAAGAAAGAUGCUAGUUCAUCCAUAUUAUUUUGUUUUAGUUUGUUUCUCAGUUGUGACUAUGUUAACCUGAUGUUAUGGUUCAGUAAAAAAUAUAGGAAAUUCACUAAAUUACAAAAAUAUGUCUAAAAUAUCAGGAGCUUGCUAAAGAAGAAUGGCAUGCCUGUUGCUAUUGCCUGGUAUUGCUAUCACUCUAAUUUUUCCCAGGCAUUAAUAUACUCAUCCUAAUGCUUUCAAUCUUCCACUUUAUUUUACUGAUGAACCCUGUAAAUAUCUUGUUCUGUACUGAUUCCUCCAUUCUCUUGUUUUUUUACAAUAGGCUUUAUUCAUUAGUUGGACCUGAAAUCAUAAGCCAGUGAAAGUAUAUUUCUUAUUUUUGCCUUACAUUUUACGCAACUUUCUUGUUUUUAAACAUUUAUUUUUCAUUCAUAUUAUUCCUACAGACAUUCUUCCAUCUUGGUUUAAAGGUAAUAUGUAUAGGCUUUAAAGGUACAUAUAGGCACGGAUUGGCAAACUUUCUGACAAAGUGACAAGGAUUGUAGGUUCACUGUCUGGAUGGACUGAAACGCUCCUUUUCAUGUGGAUGCCAGUUUCACAGAUGGUUCACUGGUUCAGCUUGAGCAUCAUUUCAUCCGGGCCGGGGAAACCUAUUCUGCAUGCAUAGUCUCAAUACCAUCAGCAAGGAGUUUUUCUUUGGAGCAACCAUUGGAUUGCUUCUUUGUAUAGGCUCAUCCGGGCGCCAGUAAGCAGGAGAGGAAGACGCUGUGCCGUCUGAUCGACGCGCGGAAGCUUUCGUCGGAGGCGGCGCUGCACGCGGCGCAGAACGAGAGGCUGCCGGUGAGGUCGGUGAUUCAGGUCCUCUU